AAAUUUUGGAAAUUUUGGAACUUUCAGCUGUUUUCACAGGUUUACUGAGUGCUGUUUAUUUCAACUUCCCUUUGACCCACAUUAUUAGUUGAUGUUCUAUCACUGGUAGAGUGAUUAAAGGAGGCAGUUUGGUUCCCAGCUCAGACGCAGCUCUCUCUCUGCUUCAUGACACCUUCAGCUUCCAGGAAACCACAGACCACCAAGCAGCAUUCAUGAUCUCAGGAGAUUUCAGCAGCUGCAGCUCAGACUGAACACACUGAAGACUUUCAGCCAGACAACAUGCCAACAAAGAAGGAAACACACUGGCAUAGAUGAGAGGCUUCAUCCAGGAUGUCUGCAGAGCUUCCUUCACUCCUACUUUGGACCUUCAGAGCACAUUUCUGAUGUUCUGCCAAGGAUCCAGACAGGAGCUCAGAGCAACUUCUCCAAGACAGUUCAGCUCUGAUCUCCUGAACAUGAGCUCAUGUUCCACCACUGCUUGCUUCUCAUUCAGACACUUUUUACAUCUGCAUCCAGUCAUGAAGAAGCAGCAAACUUUCCUCCACUUGAUCCUGAGGACAACAUGAAGAUGUGAACUAACUCCCAGAUCCAGUCCAUGUGGACUAAAGUAGUGGAGCGAGCCACUGACUGACAUCAGCAUCAGAACCAUGCUGCUAGUGUGGCUGAAAGAAAAGAGAAGAAGAGACGGUCAUGUUGAUGUGAACAUUAGAGAAAGACAUGAUGGAGCUGAAAGCUGAUCCUGCUUCAUCAUCUGGACUGCUUCUCCUCAGCCGAGCCAUUCAGCAGCAGACGGCUUCUGGUAGCAGUCUUUGUCCCUGUGUGGAGGAUACUGCUACCAUCUGUGCUUCUGGAAGCAGCUGGAUGGAACAGGAACAGAGGAGAAGAAGCCUGUGGUGACUGUGUGUCCGGUAAAAACAGAACAUGCAGCUAAGAAGGGAAAGACGGCUCUGAUGUGUCUGGCCUCCAGCAUGUUUCCUCCUCUGGUCCAGAUCUCCUGGAAAAGACGGGAGCAGAGCAGCAAACAGGAGAAGCCGCUCCCUGCUGAGGAGAAAGAAAAGAAGCUCAGCGGGUCAAGAAGUUCUGCCAGCAUCAGGCUGGUUAAUGAUGAUGCUCUCUAUGAUUAUGAAUACAUCUGUGAAGUUCAGCAUGAAACUGGCAAAGUUAUAAACCAAACCCAGAUCCAAGAACGUCCAGCUCCAACAACAAGGUCUCCACCAUCAGCAGCACCUUCAGGUCCUGAUCCAGCAGCACCUUCAGGUCCUGAUCCAGCAGCACCUCCAGGUCCUGAUCCAGCAGCACCUCCAGG